rnacentral:rRNA from 1 species
AACGCUGGCGGCGCGGCAUUAUGCAUGCAAGUCGUGCGACGGCCUUCUUGGUACCGAGCGGCGAACGGGUGAGUUACACUUGAGGAAUCUACCCCUUUGUUCCGGCAGUAAGUUGGCCUAUAGGCCUUGUAAUACUGGGGGAGGUUUGUAACGAGGCCUCUUCUUACUUGCGAACGCACAAGCGCCCCCCGGAUGUUCUCACGGCCUAUCAUGAACAUGGUGACGUAACGGCUCACCAGUGCCGACAACGGCUACCUGGUCUGAGACGAUGGUCUGCCCCAUUGGAACUGACACACUGUCCGGACUCCGUACGGGAGGCUGCACUCCAAAAUCUUGGGCAAUGCACGAAACUGUGACCCAGCGACACCGCGUGAAGGAUGAAGGCCCUCCGGGUCAUAAACUGUCUUUUACGGGAGAAGAAUCAAUGACGGUACCCCGUGAAUGAAGGCGAUGGUUAACUACGUGCCAACAGCCGCGGUAAUACGUACGUGGCAAGCGUCGUCCGGAUUUACUGGGCGUAAAGCGAACGCAGGCGGAUGGUUCAGUAAUACGUGAAAGUGUCGGAGCUCAACUCCGACACUGCUUCUUAUACUGGCCGUCUCUGAGUCCCGGAGAGGAAAGCGGAACUGCACGUGUAACGGUGAAAUGCGUUGAUAUGUGCAGGAACACCAAUGCCGUAAGCAGCUUCCUGGACGAGGACUGACGCUCAUGUUCGAAAGCCAAGGGAGCGAACAGGAUUAGAUACCCUGGAUAGUCUUGGCGUUAAACGAUGUUCACUAGGUGUCGGGGGGUAACCUUCGGUGCCGCAGCUAAUGCUCUGUGUGAACCGCAUGGGGACUACGACCGCAAGGUUGAAAGUCAAAGGAAUUGGCGGGGGCCCGCACAAGCGCUGGAGCAUGUGGUUUAAUUAGAUGCAAGGCCGAAGAACCUUACCCAGGGCUUGGCAUGGAACUGCAAGAUCGUGAAAGUGAGUCUCGUUGGAGGGUGUUCUGCAGGUGGCGCAUGGCUGUUGUCAGCUCGUGUUGUGAAAUGUGGGGUUAAGUCCCGCAGAGAGCGCAACCCUCAUGUUUUGUUGCCCGCACGUAAUGGCGGUAACUCGAAACAAACUGCCUCUGUAUAGAGGAGGAAGGUGGGGAUGAUGUCAUGUUAUCAUGCCCCUUAUGCAUGGGGAUGCACACGUGAUACAAUGGUUGAGACAAAGGGUUGCCAACCCGAGAGGGUGAGAUUAUCUCAAAAACGCAAUCUCAGUUCGGAUUGG